rnacentral:rRNA from 1 species
UACGUAGGGUGCGAGCGUUAAUCGGAAUUACUGGGCGUAAAGCGUGCGCAGGCGGUUUUGUAAGCCAGAUGUGAAAUCCCCGGGCUUAACCUGGGAAUGGCAUUUGGGACUGCAAGGCUCGAGUGCGGCAGAGGAGACUGGAAUUCCUGGUGUAGCAGUGAAAUGCGUAGAUAUCAGGAGGAACACCGAUGGCGAAGGCAGGUCUCU